GACGAACGCUGGCGGCGUGCUUAACACAUGCAAGUCGAACGAAGUGGCGAACGGGUGAGUAACGCGUAAUCACCCUGCCCUUCAGAGGGGGACCACAGUUGGAAACGACUGCUAAUACCGCAUACUGAAGGUGGGGAUUGCGUCUGAUUAGCUAGGUGGAGGGGUAACGGGCCACCAAGGCGAUGGUCAGUCGCCGGUCUGGGAGGGUGAACGGCCAAAAUGGGAACGGGGAACGGCCCCAGACCCUACGGGAGGGAGCAAGGGGGAAUCUUCCGCAAUGGACGGAAGGCUGACGGAGCAAAGCCGCGGUGGUAAUGGCGGCCUUCGGGUUGGAAAGCUCUGUUAAUCGGGACGCGGUACCGGAAUAGAAAGCCACGGCUAACUACGUGCCAGCCGCCGCGGUAAUUC
rnacentral:rRNA from 1 species